AUGUUCCCUAGUUCCUCUCGUAGCUCUCUCCCUGAAUACAAAGCUCGGUUAGGUAUCUCAAAAUAUUCUACAUGUAAACGCUCGACUCCAGCUAUGGUUGAGAUGGAGGCGAGACUGGCGGAGUUGAGGCGAGUGGCGGCGGAGGAGAGGGCGGAGGAGAGGCGACUAGCUGAUGAGAGGACGCAGCAAGCGGUGCAGCAGGCGGUGCAGCAGGCGGUGUUGGCACAAACUAGUCAAUGCUUUGCAAUGUUUGCGGCUUAUUGUACCCAGAAUGGUAUGCCCGCUAUGCUGAUGCCUCAUCAAUCAGGCCAUGGAUCUAAUACUGAUGCAUCUUCACAUGCACGAGGCCCAAGUGACAACAACCUUGAUGGUUCUCCGAAUGUUUGA
rnacentral:rRNA from 1 species